UACGUAGGGGCCUAGCGUUGUCCGGAUUUACUGGGCGUAAAGAGCGCGCAGGCGGUCGUUCAAGUCGAGUGUGAAAGCCCCCGGCUCAACUGGGGAGGGUCAUUCGAUACUGAUCGACUCGAAGGCAGGAGAGGGAAGUGGAAUUCCCGGUGUAGUGGUGAAAUGCGUAGAUAUCGGGAGGAACACCAGUGGCGAAGGCGGGUCUCUGGGCAACAACUGACGCUGAGGAGCGAAAGCGUGGGGAGCGAACAGG
rnacentral:rRNA from 1 species